rnacentral:rRNA from 1 species
GACGAACCGUGCAAACGUUGUUCGGAAUCACUGGGCUUAAAGGGCGCGUAGGCGGGCAAGCAAGUCGAAGGUGAAAUCCCACGGCUCAACCGUGGAACUGCCUCGGAUACUGGCGGUCUCGAGGGAGGUAGGGGCAUGCGGAACUGUGGGUGGAGCGGUGAAAUGCGUUGAUAUCCACAGGAACUCCGGUGGCGAAAGCGGCGUGCUGGACCUCUUCUGACGCUGAGGCGCGAAAGCUAGGGGAGCAAACGGG